UCAAAAUCUUUUUCUGCUCCACUUACCAUAACACGAUCUCAUAUUUGCUUUUUCCCUUUCUUAUAUAUAUAUCUUCCUUCCGAAGAAGAAAAUUCCAGGGCAAAAAAAUGGUUCGUCUUCCCAAAAAAACCAAUCAAAACCUAGAUUUCCGUUCCACGAAGGAUGAAGCUUGGUAUACAGUGAGUAAGCUAUCCCUGGAGAAAAACAUCCUCAUCGUAAGCUUUGAAGGGUUCGAUAAAGAAGAUGAUGAGAAGUUUAGUACCAAAGGUUUUAAAACUUCCAAACAGCUAGAUGAUUUCUUCAGGUGCAGGAUGAAGAGUGUCCUGAUUUGAGGAGUGGCUAUGAGGUAAUCCCUAAACGUCACAGACGCAAAGGAGGAAAAAUGACUUGUUUUUGUGCAUUUGAGGUUGGGUGGUCAGAAGGUCCAAAGGCAAGCAGUACUCAACAGAUGGGUAUUGAGGGAAUUUGCAAAAUUGUACAUGGCUCGCCGUUAUUUCAUCGAGCGCUCGAUUGUUUUAUGAAGAUGUCGUCAAAACAGCUCGAUUUGGCUUCAAAAAAAAAUCAAUUGCCGGUCAAAAAGAGAUCAAGGUAGAAUUGCAGGACUUUUUUUUCUCAUUUGCUAGUGAUAAAAUCUUUAUUUUAUAGAAUAUAUUUUGGACUUGGAAAUAUUUGAGUAUAGUUUUUCUUUGGAAUUAGUAUGUGAA